CCACACAUAGCAGUUUGACCAUGAACUGACCUUCCCUGUCAUUCCAUAAAUAGAAAAAAAAAUUUACCUAGGGAUGAAAAAUAUUGAGAACACAGUUUUUUGUUUGUUUGUUUGUUUGUUUGUUUUAAAGAGAUGAGGUCUUACUAUGUUGCCCAGGCUGGAGUGCAGUGGCUAUUCAAAGGCACAAUCAUAGCUCACUGUAGCCUUGAACUCCUGGGCUCAAGAGAUCAUCCGACCUCAGCCUCUGAAGUAACUGGGGCUAUCAGUGCAUGCCACCACGUCUGGCUGAGAACACAGAUUUUAAUGAACAAAGUGUGAGGUUUUGAUAUAGAGAUUUCAAUCACUUAGUCUCUGAUAAUUAAUUGAGGGCCUUUAAGCUAAACCAAGAUCAGGGGAAGAGGACAAAGUGCACAAUUAUUUGUUAAUAAAAACAAUGAAACAAUAGUAACAGAAAUCAUAGUCUUAUAAUUUUAAAAUGUUAAGAAUUUUUAACUUAAAAGGUAGAUUUUAGUUCAACUUAAUGCAACAACUAGUUUGAAAAAUGAAUAUAACUGAGAAGACAAUGACAGAGUUUUUCAGCUAAAGGAAAUAAUUUUUACUAACAUUCAGUGGAGGAUGUUUAGGAAAUGGUGAUUAGAUUUAUUGCAGCAAGGUCAUAGAAGCAAUGACAUGGAGACAGAUUGGGGGAAGACAGGCAAAAAAGUCAUAAUUGUGACCUAGUUUUGGAAAGCAGAGAAUAUAUAAAGACAAUUAGGAGACAGAAUUGGUAAUUGAAUGAAGAUGAGAAAAGGGAGUUUACAAUGAAUGUUUUUGGUUUAGAGGGCAACUGGAUAGAUGGUGGUGCUAAGAUGGAGAAUGAAGUACAGAAGAUGGGUUGGCGAAUAGAAUCAGGUGGUAGAGGCAGAAGAUGAUUUCUAAUUUUGGCAGUCUUUUUUUUUUUUUUUUUUUUUUUUGAGGAGUUUCUCUCUGGUUGCCCAGGCUAGAGUGCAAUGGUGCAAUCUCGGCUCACUUGGCAAAUUUCGCCUCCCAGGUUCAAGUGAUUCUCCUGCCUCAGCCUCCUGAGUAGCUUACAGG
rnacentral:lncRNA from 1 species